rnacentral:rRNA from 1 species
CCUACGGGUGGCAGCAGUGGGGAAUAUUGCACAAUGGGGGAAACCCUGAUGCAGCGACGCCGCGUGAGUGAAGAAGUAAUUCGUUAUUUAACGCUCUAUCAGCAGGGAAGAAAAUGACGGUACCUGAGUAAUAAGCCCCGGCUAACUACGUGCCAGCAGCCGCUGUAAUACGGAGGGGGCAAGCGUUAUCCGGAUUCACUGGGUGUAAAGGGAGCGUAGACGGGAGUGCAAGUCCGGAGUGAAAGAGGAGGGAUCAACCCUCGGACUGCUGUGGAAACUGUUCGGCUGGAGUGUGGGAGAGGUAAGUGGAAUUCCUGGUGUAGCGGUGAAAUGCAUAGAUAUUAGGAGGAACACCAGUGGCGAAGGCGGCAUACUGGACUGUAACUGACGUUGAGGCUCGAAAGCGUGGGGAGCAAACAGGAUUAGAUACCCUGGUAGUC